rnacentral:rRNA from 1 species
UACGUAGGUGGCAAGCGUUGUCCGGAUUUACUGGGCGUAAAGAGCGCGCAGGCGGUUGUGCAAGUCGCGUGUGAAAGCCCCCGGCUCAACUGGGGAGGGUCACGCGAUACUGUUCGACUUGAAGGCAGGAGAGGGAAGUGGAAUUCCCGGUGUAGUGGUGAAAUGCGUAGAUAUCGGGAGGAACACCAGUGGCGAAGGCGACUUCCUGGCCUGUUCUUGACGCUGAGGCGCGAAAGCUAGGGUAGCAAACGGG